AGAUUGAACGCUGGCGGCAUGCCUUACACAUGCAAGUCGAACGGCAGCACGGGGGCAACCCUGGUGGCGAGUGGCGAACGGGUGAGUAAUACAUCGGAACGUAUCCUGUAGCGGGGGAUAACCUCUCGAAAGAGAGGCUAAUACCGCAUACGACCUACGGGUGAAAGAGGGGGAUCGCAAGACCUCUCACUAUUGGAGCGGCCGAUGUCGGAUUAGCUAGUUGGUGGGGUAAAAGCCUACCAAGGCUACGAUCCGUAGCUGGUCUGAGAGGACGACCAGCCACACUGGAACUGAGACACGGUCCAGACUCCUACGGGAGGCAGCAGUGGGGAAUUUGGACAAUGGGCGCAAGCCUGAUCCAGCCAUGCCGCGUGAGUGAAGAAGGCCUCGGUGUAAGCUCUUCGGUCCGGACGGAAAGGUUACGUGCUAACACCGACCGAACGUCAUAGAACGGUACCGGAAGGAAAGAAGACGAACCGGCUAACUACGUAGCCAGCAGCCGCGGUAAUC
rnacentral:rRNA from 1 species